CGCAAGAGUCACGGUCAGUUGCGCCUCUGCUUCGGAAGAGUAUUUUUAGUGGCAAAUAAAGUGGUGCGCAAAUAAACAAACGCCUGGAACAAAUCCUGCAAAGGAGAGCGCCUGUGUGCGGCCCACUGUCUAACUAGGUCAGCCUCGGGCACAGCUCCUUUUGACAGUUUGCUCCCCAGGGCGGAAGGUGACCCGCAGGUGCCGGCUGCUUUCCCCACCAAUCAGCCAUCUGUGGUUUGAGACUCACAAGCUUAGGAGAGACUCGGGAGGCAUCAGUUCCGCAUCCCGCACUCCCACGUGAAUUUGCCCCCGCCCUGAGUCAGAACCCUAGAGGGGUGAAAUCCCUGAAUUCUGCAGAGGAAACCCAUACUUCUUUGCUUUUUCAGCAAUUCCAGGAGAUGUCGUUUUUCAAGUGGCAAAUGUGUGGCUCUAGAGGACAGAGUAACCACCUUGCAGCCAAGAAGCCCUGAUGUCAACUCCCAGCUCUGCUGCAGCACCCAGAAAUCACCGGACCUUUCUGCAUCUUUCUGGUCUUUGAGCUUCUUAAAGGGAAGACAUGUCCUAUUCAUCUCUACACCCCCCACACCAGUCUGCAUUCAGUAAGUGCUCAAUCAAUGUCUGCUGAAUCACAUCUUCCCACUCAACUGCAUGGCCUCGGAUGAUCCAAUUCUGUGGGACUCAGGGUCUCCCUGAUUCUGAAGAUCUCCAUUUCAGCCACCCCAUCCUGGUGCUUUUUCUGGAGAGACUGGGAAAAAGGUCUUAUUGGCUGUGCAAACUUGAGGGAGUUGCCUAACCACUCUGGGCCCUGUUUUCCUGGCUUUGCCACUCUUCAGCUGUGUGACCCGGGGAAGCUCUCAACCUCUUUGUGCCUCCAUUUCCACAUCUGUAAAAUGGGGAUAUGAAAGUGGCUGCUUUGUGAAGAGUCCUGAGAAUAAAUGAGUUAAGGAAAACUGAUAUGGAUAAAUAUGGAAGAGAGCUGGCCAGUGGAUGAAAUGGUGAUGUAAAGGUGAGCUUUGCGGAAGAGUGGAGAAAAGAGAUUGGCACUGAAGUGGGCAGUGAAAGAGCAAGAGGCUUGUGGGAGACUUGAUUUCAGAGGCAGCGUUUGGAUGGUUAUGAACAGGCUUUCCUCUUCUUUCAGGGGUACCGUAAAGAUCAGAAUUAAUAGUAUGACUAUUUGGUUUGGAGGCUGUUUCAUUAAGUAUUACACUGUGGAGAGACUGGAUCACAUGGGUCAUAUUAUUUAUUCAGGUUACAUUCACACUCCCUGUGAAUUCCCACCCUAUGCAAACUGGCAAGAAAACGCUAUUUUAAAAGAUUCUUGAACGCUUUUGUAUCUUUCUUAAGACUUUUGUAUACAGCACUGUUCACAUAGUAGGUAGUCAAAAUUAGUGAGAAAGACUCAAGCAAAAAGUUUAUUUGGAUUUCCAUAUGAUUUAUAAGCCAAGACGCUAUAAUCCAAAGAGGCAGGAAAAUGAUGUAAACUAGAAAUAAAAAUAUUUGUAAGUGACAAUGUGUCCUGAAUUCUUUGACAGGUUAAGAGAAAUAAAAGCAGGAGACGAGGAGAGAGUCACACCACGGCUCUGCAGCCCACACCACCUUGGAACCAAACAGGGAGGUGGCAGAACUGAUGGGCUGGCCGCACCACCUUAAAUCUCUUAGCUCCAAAACUGGAGGUGCUCAUCAGGACCCUGCAUCAUUUCUGUGGGUGAUGGAUGGUGUGAGGUAAGGCACAGAGAUCUAGACUUAUUUCUCCUUCCACAACAAUUGUUUCUUGGAAGAGGAAGAAAACUUAGCUGGAUUUUAUCUCUUUGUGUGGAUUUCUGGGGUAGACACCCAGAGGUGUGUGCAGGAGCAUGCUCUUUGGGGCCCACAUAGAGAUUCCAGCAGGUGCUGGAGAUUCUGGGGUAGCCUUUCCAUGACUGCUGGCCUCUUUUCCCCUGUGUUGCUUUGGUUUGCUGUCUGGCUAAAGGCAGGAGUGGGAGAAACUCACAUUCCACAAGAGGCUGCCUGGAGCAGAGGCCAAGAGGGUAAGGUUUGUCCAAGGCCUUCCAUCUCAGCUUUGCUGCCAAUUUGUCAGAAAAAAAAUCAUUUGUGCCAAUUAGACCCUGGUUAGGAAAGUGUUGUCCUGUCUGGGAAGCAGGUACAGAAACCAGUUGCAAGGACAGGAGAUCAAUGAAAGUGACACAUUACUUAUGCCUCCAAUUCUUCUCAGCCCUCAAUUUAGUCUCUGAGACACAGAGAAAAUAAGUGUACUUGCCUUGCUAAUGGGUACAUGGUUGGCUUUGGGCAAUUUAUAUAGAGCACUUUAGUUCCAAGAUGAAAUGCACUGAGAUAUUAGGAUUAGUCUCUGCUUUAAUGAGUUUCUGACUUGCAGGUUUGAAAAAAUUUAGUUCUUUUCUGUAUUUCUCUACAAACACAAAACAAUGAUUUAAUGGUAAAACAACAAUGAAAAGAAACUAGGCCAUUCUCUCCAAAAUGAUUAAAAGGGUACUUCUCCUGACCUGACAUAACCUUUCCUCAUAUGAAUUUAUUAUCUGUAUUCACACUCAUAUUCCACUGGAAUGCCUUGGGUCCAGGUGGAUGGUUGCUUAUGGUUAGUAUCGAUUCUGAGCAGGUAGGCAUUCAUACUGUUUGGUUGACGCCUGUGGUGAACAGACCUUAAGGUGACUUCUUGCACCCCUGAGUCAUUUUCUUGUAUAAUCUCCUCUCUUUGAGGACACAAACUGUGCCCUGCUUCAAACCAGUGGAAUAGAGACAAGGUGAUGAGAUCUUUGGUUAUUGCACCUAACUGCUUCAUUCAUUGCACAAUUAGUCACACGCUGUUUUGUGAUGCAGAACAUUUUUUUUUAAGAGAUGGUAGUCUCACUCUGACACCCAGGUUGGAGUGCAGUGACAUGAUCAGAGCUCACUGCAGCCUCAAACUCCUGGGCUCAAGGGAUCCUCCUGCCUCAGCCUCCUGAGUAGCUGGGACUAGAGGUGCGUGCCACCACACCCAGCUAUUUUUUAUUUUUUGUAGAAAUGGAGUCUCACUUUGUGGCCCAAGCUGGUCUCCAACUCCUGGGCUCAAGUGAUCCUCCCACCUUGGCUUAUCAAAUUGCUGGGAUCACAGGUUUGAGCCACCGUGCUUGGACUGUGAUGCAAAAUUUUAUCUAAACCUUGUAUUGUUGACUAUAGCAUCAUGCACUUACUAUUUUCCCUCUUAACUAGAUUUUAAGUCUCUUGAGGGCAAGAACUCUGUUCUUGAAGAUUUUCAGAAGCCCGAUAGCAUAUGGAAGUACUUGACACACAAUAAGUACACAGUCAUAUGUGAUUUGGUUUCUGAGCCUUCAUUUGUCCAACAAAACCAGAUGGGUCUUAGAUGAAGAUAUACGUGGCAAACACUGCAUGCCUACUGUGGGUCAGGUUAGCUCCCAGACAUGCAGAAAACAAAAGCUCUGUCCUCAGGAGUUCAUGAUGGUUCAACCCAAUCAACGAAGUCUUGCAAUCUCACUUCCUCCUUACCUUGUAGAGUUGGAAGAUAUCCAAAUAUUCCUAGAGUUCUUUGUCAAUCUGUCAGGAUUAUAAUUCCACAGAUCAGGCAGAGUGUAACCAUGAAGCUCUUCAGUGAAUUUUUAGUGACUUUUGGGUGAUUUUUUAGUUUCCAAGUAGAAGAAGCAAAAGACCCUUGUGGUGGUUACCUUCCAUCUAAACAGAGAGUGAGCUACAAAGAUACUGCUGUCCCUCAGUGGCCCAUGGGUGUCCCUGCAAAUCUGUGACUCAAGUGGCCAUAUUCAUAUUAAGCAGACCAGAGAUCAAAACCAUAUUAGGCAUGAACCACUUUUUAUUCAUAGGCUUACCGAAUAUAU
rnacentral:lncRNA from 1 species